rnacentral:rRNA from 1 species
UGGGGAAUAUUGCACAAUGGGCGCAAGCCUGAUGCAGCCAUGCCGCGUGUAUGAAGAAGGCCUUCGGGUUGUAAAGUACUUUCAGUCGGGAGGAAGGUGGUAAGGUUAAUAACCUUAUCAAUUGACGUUACCGACAGAAGAAGCACCGGCUAACUCCGUGCCAGCAGCCGCGGUAAUACGGAGGGUGCAAGCGUUAAUCGGAAUUACUGGGCGUAAAGCGUACGCAGGCGGUUGAUUGAGUCAGAUGUGAAAUCCCCGGGCUUAACCCGGGAAUUGCAUCUGAUACUGGUCAGCUAGAGUCUUGUAGAGGGGGGUAGAAUUCCAUGUGUAGCGGUGAAAUGCGUAGAGAUGUGGAGGAAUACCGGUGGCGAAGGCGGCCCCCUGGGCAAAGACUGACGCUCAGGUGCGAAAGCGUGGGGAGCAAACAGG